AAAAUUUGGAACGAUACAGAGAAGAUUAGCAUGGCCCCUAUGCAAGGAUGACACUCAAAUUCCUGAAGCGAUCCAUUAAAAA
ensembl:snRNA Gm22056 predicted gene, 22056